rnacentral:lncRNA from 1 species
GCGAUGGAAUCGGAACAGUUUCGUGAAGUGAAAUGACGAGAGUCCGGAGGUAUAGCAGGCAGCUACCGAGCCGAGGUCAGUGAGUGAGUGGAGCAGCGCUUUUACGUCGUUUCACCGGUGCGGUUCGUUCUUGGCUCGUGACUCUUCUAACUGUUGUAAAGUGUAAAGUGAGCUCGGGGUGUCCGCACUCCUCUAGUGCCGUGAUUAAGUGUGUAUCUGUGCUCCGCUAAUGAAUAAAUGUUAAUGUCGGUAUCUAAGUGUAAAUCACGUUAGCGUAAUUUAAAUCCAAAGAAAGACAUGCUGUUCAGGUUCAUCCGUAAGUGUGAGUAAGAGAGAGAGUGUCAGUGUGUUCCACUGGAUCAUGAGUGACCCAGCCAGUAAGUAGUGUAUAAUCUAGUGUAAGUUACCCUGGUGAAUAUAAGGUGUGUGGGCUGAUAUUAACACUACAGAGUUGAUUGGAAGUCGCUUUGGAGAAAAGUGUCUGCUAAAUAAAUAAAUGUAAGUGUUAGUGUGGACGUUAAUGUUAGUAGCGUAAAUGUAAGUGUCAGUAAGCGCGAAGGUGCCAGUGCCGCGAUUGAAACGCACCUGAACGUCACUCUCCGUUCGGAACGUGUCACGUGCUCCGCUCCGCUUUGAAGCGCUUUUCGGUCGCGGUGUUUGCGCCGCCGCUUUCAGACACGCGCUUUUUUUUUUUGCAUUAUUAUUUUCGAAACAGUAACAUUUUUAUGUAAUUAAAAAGGCGCGUCAUACACCCAGCAGCAGGCUACGCGUGACAGGGAUAUUCGCGCUCUCAGCUCUGCUCCCCGCUUCUCUCACGCCACGGCGCUGUGUCGUUUUUUCUGCCCUUCGUAGCUCCUCGUUUGCGAACAAUGAAACCCAAUUUAUUGCUUUUCCGGAGCAGCAGAAGUUAGUAGUAUCCCGGCCGGCAGCACCGAAGACUCGAGGUGUUAUUAAUAAAUUAACACUCGAGGUGUUACAGCUAUUUCGACAACAAUCGAAUCCGCUGAAAACGUCGACUCUUUGGAAACGGGCUUUUUCUGAGGCCGACUGGACCGACUGCUCUACAACAGAUGUUCGCUGCACUUCUGCUCUUUUUCUCCGCCUCUUUCCUUUCUUGAUCUCUCAAACAUCGCAGGGUAGUGGUGGCCAGGAGCCCAUCCCAGAAGCGCUGGCCGCAAGGCUGAAGGCUACACCCCGGACGGGACGCCGGUCCAUCACAGGAGUCCAAGUCACAGCAUCUUGAAAGCUGACAACUAUCUGAGAUGUCAGUAUUAUUAAAGAAAGCUGGUAUUGCCUGUCCGUUGAACACGUGGAUUAACUGCCGUCGAUGCGCUUUGCUAAUUAAAAGCUGGCUUAAUAGUCAAAACAAAUAACAAAUAUUUAAUUUCACACCACUCGCAUUCACUGUAAUCACAGUUUUCUGUGAUUUUUUUUUUUAAAUUUAAUUCUUAAGGCACGUAAACACCAACCAUCUCCCCAUUAUGGGCAUGUGGUAGUUGGUGGGUAACAGUUGUCAUCUGUAUAUUCUGCUACAUAAAUUUUAAAAAAGUCUGUGCUUAUUAAAUGCAGUAAUAUAAAACUAAUUUUUAUUUCAUGUACACUGAAAAAUUCAUUUUUGUGUUUUGCAUGUCAUGACUAAUUUGAAUUUUAAGUAAUUUUAAAAUAU